CCUACGGGCGGCAGCAGUGGGGAAUAUUGGACAAUGGGCGAAAGCCUGAUCCAGCCAUGCCGCGUGUGUGAAGAAGGCCUUCGGGUUGUAAAGCACUUUCAGUGGGGAAGAAAGCCUUGGGGCUAAUACCCUCGAGGAAGGACAUCACCCACAGAAGAAGCACCGGCUAACUCCGUGCCAGCAGCCGCGGUAAUACGGAGGGUGCGAGCGUUAAUCGGAAUUACUGGGCGUAAAGCGCGCGUAGGCGGUCUGAUAAGCGGGUUGUGAAAGCCCCGGGCUCAACCUGGGAACGGCAUCCGGAACUGUCAGGCUAGAGUGCAGGAGAGGAAGGUAGAAUUCCCGGUGUAGCGGUGAAAUGCGUAGAGAUCGGGAGGAAUACCAGUGGCGAAGGCGGCCUUCUGGACUGACACUGACGCUGAGGUGCGAAAGCGUGGGUAGCAAACAGGAUUAGAUACCCUAGUAGUC
rnacentral:rRNA from 1 species